rnacentral:rRNA from 1 species
CGCGUAGGCGGUUAAGUGUGUCUGGUGUGAAAGACUCCGGCUCAACCGGAGGACCGCGCUGGAAACUGCUUAACUAGAGUGAUGGAGGGGGAGCUGGAAUUCCUGGUGUAGGGGUGAAAUCUGUAGAGAUCAGGAAGAACACCGGAGGCGAAGGCGAGCUCCUGGCCAUAUACUGACGCUGAGGCGCGAAAGCGUGGGGAGCGAACAGGAUUAGAUACCCUGGUAGUCC